AUUGAACGCUGGCGGCAGGCCUAACACAUGUAAGUCGAACGAGUGGCGGACGGGUGAGUAAUGUCUGGGAAACUGCCUGAUGGAGGGGGAUAACUACUGGAAACGGUACCUAAUACCGCAUACACUCGGAUGUGCCCAGAUGGGAUUAGCUUGUGGGUGGGGUAACGGCUCACCAAGGCGACGACCCCUAGCUGGUCUGAGAGGAUGACCAGCCACACUGGAACUGAGACACGGUCCAGACUCCUACGGGAGGCAGCAGUGGGGAAUAUUGCACAAUGGGCGCAAGCCUGAUGCAGCCAUGCCGCGUGUAUGAAGAAGGCCUUCGGGUUGUAAAGUACUUUCAGCGGGGAGGCGUUACCCGCAGAAGAAGCACCGGCUAACUCCGUGCCAGCAGCCGCGGUAAUAC
rnacentral:rRNA from 1 species